rnacentral:lncRNA from 1 species
AACAUAUGGGGGAGACGGAGUGCUCAGUGCUGGACGCCACCAGCCACUGCAUGCUCUCUCGGCUGCACAUGAAUUACAGGCGUGAUUGGUUGCAGAGGGUGAACGAUACAGGAUGGAGGGAUGGUACUAGCCAGCGGGAUGCCCUGAUGUACUUAGUUUGGUUGCACAUUAUCAUUAUCCUGAAUUAGUCAUGCUAUUGUUUGGUUAAGACGUCGUUUGAAGGCA